AAGUCGUAACAAGGUUUCCGUAGGUGAACCUGCGGAAGGAUCAUUACCGAGCAAGGGUCUUCUGGGCCCGACCUCCAACCCUUUGUCUAUUCUACCCUGUUGCUUUGGCGGGUCUGCCCUUAGGGGCCGCUGGGGGUCUUAUCACCCCUGGUCCGUACCAGCCAGUGGCCUUUUAAAUUCUUUCUAUAACUGUGAUGUCUGAGUACAAAAAGUAAAAUCGUUAAAAACUUUCAACAACGGAUCUCUUGGUUCUG
rnacentral:misc_RNA from 1 species